AGAGAGAAAGAGAGUGAGAGAGAGAGAGAGAGAGAGAGAGAGAGGGCAAGAGCAAAGGGAAAAUAUCUAGUUUAAUAUUAUGUAAUUUAAACGAAAUUUUAUGAAUACGCUAGUUAUACUCAGAGUUAAAAUAAAUUUCCUUUUUCAUUUAUAAUAAUGAAAAUUUACAGCGAAAAUAAAACUGAAUGUCAAAACCAA